ensembl:lncRNA
CUAGGGGUUACAUACGUGGAGUUGAAUAAGAUUUUAAUUUUAUUUUCUUUACUCCUAGAGCUCGCCCCAUUCCCUCCAAUAUACACAUAACUCUGCCCCCAGAACAUCACUUUUAAGCACACUUAUAUAACUAAUAUAACUAUAACUAAUAUAACUAUAUAUAAUUAUACAUAAUUAAUUAUAUACUAAUUAUAUAUAAGAGGAAUGAGAAUCGGGACCAGCUGAAAGCUCCUGGGUGUUAAAUGCCAGAUUAAAUAAUCCACGUUGUCUUUUUCAUAGUAUUGUCAUUAAAGGAUCGUAAAACUGUGGGCUAAUGCAGUGUGAAAAUAUCACACUGAAAUGUGUAUGGUGUUCAUGCGGACAGCUCGAAAACACUCCAUCAGCCUAUAGGAUGACCUGUUAGCCCGGUGCUGCUAAACACACAGAUUUACAUUUACACCCACGUAACCUAACUGUAGAACAAUUCCUUCAUUCUCUACAAUCUUUCCUGUCACAGUCUUACAGCUGAAUAUAUUCAGCGCAGUGUUAAAUCUCCAGUCAAUCACACUGACACUCACUGACACGGUUUCACUUCAGUCUCCGGUCUAACCUGGAAGACGUACCUGUCACAAUGAGGAUGUAUAUAUGAAUGUCUUCCUCGUUCUUCCGGUCCCGGAUGGUGUAACUUCCGCCAUCGGACAUAUUCACGUCUGUCAGCGUGAUGUUGGGGUGACUGAGUGAUGCUCUGUGUGUGUAUUCAGGUUUACAGUGGAGUGAGCGGUGAGCCACUGUACAGAUCUGUUCGCCGUAUAAAUCACUCGAAUCGAUGGGCUUAUAAGUCACCUCCACUGGAUCCGGUACGGGCAAAUCCAUCACCAGAGCCUCCCCAGGGGUUAACCGAACUGAGGACUUCAACGCUGCAGAGGAAAAACAAAACAAGGAAACUCAACUGACAUCUGAUCACACCGAGCCAGAACAUGGGUUGAAUUAUGGACCAUGGACCAUUUGAUCACACCAGAACAUUUGGAUUUACAUGGGAGUUUAGCAGACUGAUGAAGCUUCACGGUUACAGAGGUCAAGUCCAGUGUAGGUAGGAUGGUACUCACUGCCAACACAGUUCUACACAGGAAACCUGCAGACUACAUGGCUAAAAGUAUGUACACCCGUGUCCAUCACACCCAUAUGUGUGUAUAUAUUAUUCUCCAAACUGUUACCACAAACUCUGAAGCACACAAUUGUGUAGAACGUCUCUGUACGCUGUAGCGUUACGGUUCCCCUUCACCGGAACGGAGUCCCAAACAUGUUCCAGCGAGACACACAGUGCACAAAGCGAGCUCUAUGAACACCUGGUGUGUGAACGUUGGAAGAAGCUAGAAGAACUCGAGUGUCCUGUACAGAACCCUGACCUCAACCCCAUUACCGCUCUUAUAGCUGAAUGAACACAAAUCCCCACGGCCACGCCCCAAAAAUCACACAUACCAGUGGUGAAGGUGAGGGUGAGGAAGAACAGGACGCGGUGAUGAAAGCUACAGGACUGCAUGGUGGAGGACACAAGACACCACCAUCAGUACCGCACAGGUGGAGACAAGUGGAGAAAACCAGGAGAUCUCCACUCUUCCUAUAGAAACGUAAUAAAUGUAAUAAUGAAGAAGAAGAAGAAGAAGAAGAGGAGCGUGAAGCUGUAAUGAUGGAGGAGAGGAGCAGUAUAUAAACCCAAUAAACUCUGCCCUGCCAUACUGUCUGCCACAGCACUCUCAAACAACACUACAUCAGAAAACACACACACACACACACACACACACACACUUCAGAAAAGGAGUUAAAUGUUACGUAACAUUGUGUGUAUCAUGUAGUAAAACAUUUCAAACAAGUAAAAUCUCCCACAUGCAAUAACCUCAUCAAAUGUACCCAAUGUUUAACGUUAGCUUGUGUGUGGAGACCAUACGUAACCUGUGUAGGAGUAAAACCUCAGAACCUCAUCAUACUGAUGAUGAUGUGUGUGUGUGUGUGUGUGUGUGUGUGUGUGUGUGUGUGUGUGCUGGACCCGUGCAGAUAUGGCUUUAUAUUAACUAAAAAGACUGGAAAACCAACAGAGACACAAAUUCAAACACAAAGGGCAGGACAG